GACGAACGCUGGCGGCGUGCUUAACACAUGCAAGUCGAACGAUGAACCCGGAGCUUGCUCCGGUGGAUUAGUGGCGAACGGGUGAGUAACACGUGAGUAACCUGCCCUUGACUCCGGGAUAACUGCGGGAAACUGUAGCUAAUACCGGAUACGACCCUCGGCGGCAUCGCCAGGGGGUGGAAAGAAUUUCGGUCAAGGAUGGACUCGCGGCCUAUCAGCUAGUUGGGGCGGUAACGGCUCACCAAGGCGACGACGGGUAGCCGGCCUGCGAGGUUGUCCGACCACACUGGGACUGAGACACGGCCCAGACUCCUACGGGAGGCAGCAGUGGGGAAUAUUGCACAGUGGGCGCAAGCCUGAUGCAGCAGCGGCGCGUGAGGGAUGACGGCCUUCGGGUUGUAAACCUCUUUUAGUAGGGAAGAAGCGAAAGUGACGGUACCUGCAGAAAAAGCACCGGCUAACUACGUGCCAGCCGCCGCGGUAA
rnacentral:rRNA from 1 species